rnacentral:lncRNA from 1 species
CUACAAGGGAAGUCCUUGGUUCCCUCCCAAAUGUAUUCAGUGCACUUUGCUUGAAUGCCCGAGGUCUUCAGUCUUUUGUACAAUGUCAACCAUUUGAACGUCUCUUCAAAGUUCUUCUGUCUCCUGAUUACCUCCCAGCCAUGCGGAGGAGGAGAAGUUCUGAUCCCCUUGGGGAUACUGCAUCCAACCUGGGGAGUGCUGUUGACGAGCUCAUGAGACAUCAGCCCACCCUCAAAACAGAUGCAACAACUGCCAUCAUCAAGUUACUUGAAGAAAUCUGUAAUCUUGGAAGAGAUCCAAAAUACAUUUGUCAGAAGCCAUCUAUUCAGAAAGCAGAUGGUACUACUAGUGCUCCUCCUCCAAGGUCUAAUCAUGCUGCAGAAGAGGCUUCUAGUGAAGAUGAGGAGGAAGAGGAAGUACAGGCCAUGCAGAGCUUUAAUUCUGCCCAGCAGAAUGAAACCGAGCCUAAUCAGCAGGUUGUUGGUACAGAGGAACGUAUACCUAUCCCCCUCAUGGAUUACAUCCUUAAUGUGAUGAAAUUUGUGGAAUCUAUUCUGAGCAACAAUACAACAGAUGACCACUGCCAAGAAUUUGUAAAUCAGAAAGGACUCUUACCUUUGGUUACCAUUUUGGGUCUUCCCAAUCUGCCCAUUGACUUUCCCACAUCUGCUGCCUGUCAGGCUGUUGCAGGUGUCUGCAAAUCCAUAUUGGUAAGAAACAUCUAGCCAAAUAUUUUACAUCUCUGUAUGUAUUUUCAUUGUGUUCUCCCUUACCUAUAGUUAAAAAUUGAUAAAUUUGUGUCUGUUCCACUUACUAUAUUUUAUACUAUUUUCCAUAGUAAAAUUAAUUUUUGUUUCUGCAUUUGCGUGUAGUUUUGCCAUUUGAAUUCAUUUGAGUGUAAAGUAUUUCCCAAAAAGCUUUCUAGCUUUCUUCAUGCUUUGUUACGGUAGUGUUUUUGGUUUUAGUAUGCUCAUUCAUUUUGCAGUGUUUGAUUCUUUUUCCCAAGCUUUAUUAGUCAUGAAUUGAUUGUAAUUUGUUGCUUAAAAUUUGCCAAAACAAAGUUUAUUUCCGCAACACCUUUGAUUUUUUUUUUUUUUUGCAAGUUACUUGUUCUCCCCU